UGGAUGUUCUGGGCACUGCACUUGGGACUUGGGCUCUUUUGCCUGUCUCAGUGUGCCCAUGGCCCCAGCUGCAUGUAUAUGUGUGUGUGUGUGUGUGUGUGUGUAUGGCAGUUCCAGAUGGUGCCUGAGCCAUCAGUCAUGCUACCCAUCCUGCAUGCUAUACCACCAGCACACUGUCCUUUUUCCUUUUGUUCAGGCCUGGGCCACAGUCUGACUCCUUGAAACUGUCAUCUUCAAAUCAUGACCUCAAACAGGCAUUGUGCGACCAGUGAGUGCCAGCUGUGUACCCAAGACUGGGCCAGCAUCUGGACAGUGACCCACAGCAUGGACCAGGCCACCAGCACUGGCUAAUAGGAUGUCUCAUAGCAUGGCUUGCUCUCACCUACUUCACAGGGGAUUGGACUGCAUCUUCUGACUCCACUGCGCACCAGGUACCAGGUUAUGUACGUGGUACAUGGAGACAUACAGGUGGACAAAUACCUGUACAUACAAAAUAAACUUCCGAAAGAAUGAAACAAAGAAAGGAAGGAAAACAGACAGACAACUCCACCCUUGCUCACAGGGAUGUCCACUGUGGCCUUAUUUACAAAUAGAAAAACCACAGUAUAACCCAGUGUAAGAGAGCAAAUUUGUGUUCUGGUGCCCAAGAAAAAUCCAGUUCUUUCCAUUACCCUAAAUGCACAGCGAAUGACCACACGGGGGCGUGAAAGAGCUACAUAAAACAAGAAAGACUUUGGCUGAGCAAGUGUUUAAACUGGUUUCUGAAUGUUGGGUAGAAUAGCCUGUCCGAAAGCCUAUAGACCCAAGUUCAAAUCUUGGGAUCUACACGGCGGGAAAAGAGAACAGACUCUAACCUUCGUAGGUGCUCGGGCUCUCUAAUUAUGUACACACAAAAUAAAUUUAAGAAUAAAUUUAAAACAUA